ACUCCUACGGGAGGCAGCAGUGGGGAAUAUUGCACAAUGGGGAAACCCUGAUGCAGCCAUGCCGCGUGUGUGAAGAAGGCCUCGGUUGUAAAGCACUUCAGUAGGGAGGAAGGUAGUGUAGUUAACACCUGCACUAUUUGACGUUACCUACAGAAGAAGCACCGGCUAACUCCGUGCCAGCAGCCGCGGUAAUACGGAGGGUGCGAGCGUUAAUCGGAAUUACUGGGCGUAAAGCGCAUGCAGGCGGCCUGUUAAGUCAGAUGUGAAAGCCCGGGGGCUUAACCUCGGAAUUGCAUUUGAAACUGGCAGGCUAGAGUCUUGUAGAGGGGGUAGAAUUUCAGGUGUAGCGGUGAAAUGCGUAGAGAUCUGAAGGAAUACCAGUGGCGAAGGCGGCCCCCUGGACAAAGACUGACGCUCAGAUGCGAAAGCGUGGGGAGCAAACAGGAUUAGAUACCCUGGUAGGAUAGCG
rnacentral:rRNA from 1 species